AUAAAGGAUCCUGCUGGGUUAAUUGGUCGAUGAUCCCGUGAUUACAGGUGUAACAAUGGUAACGAGGGCAUGCUGAAUUGUGCCCGCUAACGGUAACUGUAUGUCGAGAUUCGUCCUAUUCAGGGGAGGGCGAGUCUUGGUGAUAAAUCGGAUGUUGAGGUGUCUGGGUCUUACUUUACUCUAGUGGUACCGCGUUUUCCACUUAUCAGAUCAUUGUCACGUGACCCUAUAUUGUAGUGACAGCUCAUGGCUCACUUUGGCUAUCUCAAAGUAUGAAAUAGCUUGUGUGGAAAAUGAAAAGGAGUUAAGAUGGAAAAAAUUUUUUGAGGGGCCAACUAUCUACAUUACCUUGACAUAAUGUGAUUUCAGCAUAUGGUGUUGUCAGUAUGAGGCAUUUGUGCAUAUCAGGAUUACAUAAUUUAUAUUUUUGUGUAAUUAUGAAAAUUUGGUUACUUUGUCUUUUUAGUUCCUCUGCUGGAUAAAUUUAUACUCUUUUGAACAUGCAUCACUGCUUAAUGUGGUCAUUCGGUGGGAAAGGAAUUAUAAAGGAUCUGAAGGAGUGGAUAUGUCUGUCGGAAAUCUGAAAUCCAAUAUUAUUACUUAUUUGCUUGAAUGGUUGCAUUCUCCAUAUUUAUUUGAACCCCCUGGUCUUUAAGACCAUCAGGGCCUUGAUACUUCAUACCUUCAACUAGCUAAUUCCUUACUAUGUGCUUUUUAUCACUUGUAUUUCAACAUACUUAGCACUCCAUGGUAACUGUGUUUCAUUUUCAGUAUCCCAUUCAGUAAAAAUCAUGGCCUUGAUACGUCAUACCUUAAACUAGCUAAUUCCUUAUUAUGUGCUUUUUAUCACUUGUCGUCCAUUGUCAGAUAGUAUUUCAACAUGCUUAGCAUUCCAUGGUAAUUGUGUUUCAAUUUCAGUAUCCCAUUCAGUAAAAAUCAUUGGGUUUCAGUUGGGAUUAAGCUACUGCUGAUAGUAACAAGA
rnacentral:lncRNA from 1 species